CCUACGGGAGGCAGCAGUGGGGAAUUUUGGACAAUGGGCGAAAGCCUGAUCCAGCCAUACCGCGUGCGGGAAGAAGGCCUUCGGGUUGUAAACCGCUUUUGUCAGGGAAGAAAUACCUCGGGUUAAUACCCUGGGGUGAUGACGGUACCUGAAGAAUAAGCACCGGCUAACUACGUGCCAGCAGCCGCGGUAAUACGUAGGGUGCAAGCGUUAAUCGGAAUUACUGGGCGUAAAGCGUGCGCAGGCGGUUCUAUAAGACAGAUGUGAAAUCCCCGGGCUCAGCCUGGGAACUGCAUUUGUGACUGUAGAGCUAGAGUACGGUAGAGGGGGAUGGAAUUCCGCGUGUAGCAGUGAAAUGCGUAGAUAUGCGGAGGAACACCGAUGGCGAAGGCAAUCCCCUGGACCUGUACUGACGCUCAUGCACGAAAGCGUGGGGAGCAAACAGGAUUAGAUACCCUGGUAGUCCACGCCCUAAACGAUGUCAACUGGUUGUUGGGAGGGUUUCUUCUCAGUAACGAAGCUAACGCGUGAAGUUGACCGCCUGGGGAGUACGGCCGCAAGGUUGAAACUCAAAGAAUUGACGG
rnacentral:rRNA from 1 species